UUGAUGUUUUUUUUCCUAUAUUUAUUGGUUUUUUUCAUGUUUGUUAUGAGUUACAAUGAAUGCUUUAUGAUUUGGGAGGGAUGGAAGCUUGUUUAUUUUGGGCUGGCCAUGGGAAAGCAUUGGGGAAAAAUGGAAAAUUUAUUUAAAUUUAUAAUAUUGUAUAGUUAUUAAAAUUAUAGGUAUGAGUAAAUUUUGUUUAGAAAGGAAUUUUAAUUUGUAUACGCGAUGUGAUUUACAUAUUGUAUAUGGGUGUUUGAAAGAAAUAGGUGAAUGUGAUUUUAUGUGAGUUAGUCCCCAAGGGGCGUAGCGUGAUGGCAAAGGGUUUGAGGUCUGCACAGCAGGUCUCGAGUUCGAGUCAAGGCGUGCACCUCUUGUACGAGCCUGGGACAACCAGGAUUUUACUCGCUCACCUGAGCCCACAAAGUGCGCUUUCCAGGAGGUUCACAAAGAUGGAAGCUAAAUGAACAAUAACGUCAGCAAUAAAAAUGUUGAUGUAAGUGUCUUUAUUUCAAUGAAGCAAGCUUAGAGAUCAACCAAAUUGGAUGACUGUGGUUGAGGCUUGGUGGGAAGAUUUAAGGCUACACAACUUGGACGCAAACCAACUGUAAUGGAGUUAUAUAUGAAAACACAUGUGGAGAGAGGAUAAACAAAAAAGAGGAUGCAACAGUUCGUGGAUAACUAAGCUAAGGUGUUUAUUGUAAGUAAAAUUCAAGACCUUUUGUAUACUUUUGGACUAAUGUUUUUUUUUUUUGUCAAUAUUUUUUACCGACGAUCAGUUCAUCGGUGCUUCAUCAGGUAAUAUUUACCAACAAAUAGGCUGACUGAAAAAUGGCCGGUGCCUAUUUAUAUCCCUAACAUGAAUAUUAUAUUGCUUUAUCCAUUAGCAUUGAAGUCAUCGACUGAAUUAGUGAAGGAUUUUAAAUCCUUGAUGAGAUAAUCACUGACGACACUUUUCCAUAAAUAAAUUCGUCGGUGAUUUUUAUACCGACCAAAAUAUAACUUUUACACCAGUGAAAUAUUUGAAGAUCAUCCACAACACGUCGACCAUCAUGUAACAACUUUCAACCCUAAUAUGAUGCAAAUAUAAAUUAUUAAUCCAUAAAUAAAAUGUAACGGUUUUUUUGAAACCUAUAAAAAGUAACAAAUACUUGUAACAUUUUGAAUCCAACGUGCAUGUGGCUCAUUCUCCAUCUCCUCGCAUGGAGGAACUUGCACUGGGUUUGGUGUAAUGAUUUAGCGUGUUAUACUCAGGAGCCAACCCAUGUAUUCCUCCUAAGAAAUUACAAGAUGCAUUUCUCUAAAAAUAAAAUCUCUUCAUGCAUUCCAUAUCAAUAUUUACUAGAGAUGGUAGAUUAUCCAAUUACAAUCAGCGUGCUUACCCAAACGACUAAUGGAAUACAACUGAUCGCUCGUAUCUAUGUCAGAUGGGAUGUAUUGCUUAAAGCCAAAUUGUUGCAUUACACGGUUCGGAAAAUACAUCUCAACAAGCUUAAAAAAUAAGAGGGGACAACUGAUGUCCAUAGUCAAUUUGAAUAUAACAAGAGCAACUUUCAUAUCAUAUUUUGAAUAAGGAUUCUACACAACCAAUUGAAACAUCAACAAUGCAAUUAUUUCCAUCAUUUACCAACAUCAACCCAUGCACUUAUUUUUCAUCAUUUACCAACAUCAACCUAUGCAAUAAUUUCUUAACAUUUAUCAAUGUAAAAAAAAAUUAAAUAUCAACACAAAUAACAAUAUUAGGCCUCGUUUGUUUGCUGGAAAGUAGUUUCUUUUUGGAAAGUAAAUUCUGGGAAAGUGAAUUAGUUUCCGAUGUUUGGUAGUGUGAUGGAAAAUAAGUUGAAAAACACUUUUCAAUGUUUGGUUAUGUCAUGGAAAAUAAGCUGGAAAAUAACUUAUUAAUGUUUUAUUUUUUUUUCAAGUUUAUUAAAAUAAUGAGGAACAAAUCUUACAAAUUAAAAGGUUGAAUGAGAAUGAAAUUGAAAAAAAAUAUAAUUUUAUAAAUUAUCUCAAAUAAAAUAAAUGAUAAUCAAAACAAUAGAAAUCAAAUCUAAAAAAUAAAAAAAAAUAAAAGAUGAAGAAAUUAAAAUAAUAAUAAUUAACAUUUCAUAAAUUAUUUCAAAUAAAAUAAGUAACAAUUAAAAAAUGAGGACCAAAUUUGAUAAAUAAAAAAUUUCAAUUAAAAAAUGAUAAGGGAAAAGCAAAAUAAAAAUAAGGACCAAAGUUAAUAUAAAAAUUAAAUUCUAAGGGAUGAAAUUGAAAAAAAAAAUAUUCAAAAAAAAUAUAUAGUAAUCAAAAGUUUGAGGACCAAAUUUGAUAUAAUUAGCAAAUAAUAUGAUAUUUUUAAAUUUUUCAUAACUUCCGGAAAGUGUUUUUCGCCAAAAAUAAAAGGAAAUUACUUUCCUGGAAAUCAAGCCAAAUUUUCCUUGACUGGAAAGUGUUUUCCGUUGAUCAACUUUUCUAAUAGCAAACAAACACAGGAAAGUUUGGAAAGUGAUUUCUUGGAAACCACUUUCCGGGAAACAAACGCACCCUUAGUAUACUAUUAUUCAUAUCAGGGACAAUAACACCACCAUAAUGACACAACAUAAACAAGUUUGAAGAUAUAUUUUUUAAAAUAAAAAUACUCAUUUCACGAAAAAUAAAUUAUCUCACAAUUCAAUGCAAACCCUAAUUGCUAUUACUUUGGCCAUAAUAAUAGCAAUAAAAAAUAAUUAAUUGCAUCAAUUAAAAAGUAAAUGAUCUUAAUUGAACAAAAUCUUCAAUUACGAUAAUUUUUACAAAAAGUUCAAAGUAAACUCUAGACGCUAUGAUUUCGACCAUAACGUUAUUAAUAACAUCAAUUGAUUAAAAAUCUAUCUAAUAACAUCAAUUACAACAAAAUUUAUAUCAAUUCAAACAAUAUAAUAAAAUAUGACAAGUAACUCAAUAAUCAAUUUAAACCCUAAUUUCUCUAAUCCAAACACAUAAUUGCAAUAUUCAUAACCUAAAAUUAUCUAAUUAUCAAACACAACACAAAUACCUAAUUAAAUCAAAACAUAAAAUUUACCAAUUCAAUAAUAAAACUCGUCAAACUAAGAGACAAUAUAAAUGUUUUACCUUGAUUUUUUUUUAUGUCUAGUUGGUUGUUUCACCGGUUGUGGUAGCGGGGAGGCUGUCAUUGAAAGCUUUGGUAAACGGUUUGCCAAUGUUUAUUUGUUUUCUUUUCUUUCCUGCUUUAAUCAUUAUGUUUGCCAAUGUUUAUUUGUUUUCUUUCUUCUCUUUUUUGCUUUCAUUAUUAUGUCUGCCAAUGUUCUUUUAUUUUCUCCUCUUCUUUUCUUAUCUUAUCUUUUUUGCUUUCUUUCUGUAUUGUUAAAAUGGCUUCGUCUACAAAUAUCUGAUGGAAAGUAAAGGCCCUACGAAUAGCUAUGGUCCUUCAAUAUUCCAAGUUGAUUAGAUGGUCCUCCAUGCGCGCAUUGUGGAAAGUAAAGCCUCUGAUUUAAGCAUUUCUCUGUCAUUGUGGAAAGCAAAGCCCGAUACAUGACAAUA